rnacentral:rRNA from 1 species
UACGUAGGAGGCAAGCGUUGUCCGGAAUUACUGGGCGUAAAGCGCGUGUAGGUGGUGGGACAAGUCGGCUGUGAAAACCUCGGGCUUAACUCGAGGCCUGCAGUUGAAACUGUCUAGCUGGAGUGUGGGAGAGGAGAGUGGAAUUCCCGGUGUAGCGGUGAAAUGCGUAGAGAUCGGGAGGAACACCAGUGGCGAAGGGCGGCUACCUGGACCAGCACUGACACUGAGGCACGAAAGCGUGGGGAAGCAAACAGGG